rnacentral:rRNA from 1 species
UAUUGCGCAAUGGGGGAAACCCUGACGCAGCAACGCCGCGUGGGUGAUGAAGGUCUUCGGAUUGUAAAGCCCUGUUUUCUGGGACGAUAAUGACGGUACCAGAGGAGGAAGCCACGGCUAACUACGUGCCAGCAGCCGCGGUAAUACGUAGGUGGCGAGCGUUGUCCGGAUUUACUGGGCGUAAAUGGUGCGUAGGCGGAUGUUUAAGUGGGAUGUGAAAUCCCCGGGCUUAACCUGGGGGCUGCAUUCCAAACUGGAUAUCUAGAGUGCAGGAGAGGAAAGCGGAAUUCCUAGUGUAGCGGUGAAAUGCGUAGAGAUUAGGAAGAACACCAGUGGCGAAGGCGGCUUUCUGGACUGUAACUGACGCUGAGGCACGAAAGCGUGGGUAGCAAACAGG